AAGAUUAUAUGAUGCAGCUGCCAAUCCCAACCAAACGUGGUGCUAUCAUUCCAUUUACCUCGUGGAGUGGAUUUGGUGAUUCUACGAAACAACUAUACAAUCAGCCUCUGCAUUACCUCACAAAUGUCUACCUGAAGCAGCUGGAUCGAAACAGGAUUGGUGCUGAUGAUGCGAACGAAAGACUUGAUACUAUUAUUCAUCCAGCCAAAGCUGAAGUUUUCCUCUGGAUGACGGAACAAACUCACAGGCUCACUACUUCUCCACAUCAGCUGGCUACACUCUGGCAAAAAGACCCCAUGUACAAGGCUGAUAUCGAUGCCUGUGCCCCUCUCUCUACUAAUCCAAUUUAGGGGUCUUUCAAUAGGAAGGAUCAGAUUCUAGCAUUCCCUGAACACUGCAAGGGUGUAAUGAUAAUCUCCUGAUCGUAUCUUGUAAAACUUUUUAUUUCCUUUACCAUCUAUGUAGGGCGUUCUCUGGAAUGGACUGAAUGAUCUGUAAACAAUCCGAGAGCUUAGCUAUUGACAAAGUAUCAAACAGGAUUAUUUACAUGCUACCAAUAAUUACUGCAAGAGCAAAUUCCAUGCUCGAAAACGUGAAAUCGGUGGUUAUCUCGAUUAAUAAUUUUACGGUCAUAUAUCUCUGACACUAACUUUGCAUAAGAAUGACAGUCAGAACAGAUUCUGAGAUUCUUGAUUACACGUAUGGGCGUUCCAUAGCUUGUACUUAUGAGUCCAAAGCCUAAGGCCAGUUUUUCACUGUGUCUACUUAGCAAUGUAUCCUUUUCUUGCUCAUCGACAUCUAACAAGACACUUUUAAGGUCAGGAACAAAGCCCACAUCUCUGAGUCUGUAGUUCACUUCUUCCAGCAUUGGGAGAAUAAGAUCUGUAACUAAAUGAGACUGAUCACCUGAAGUGAACUCAUGAAUGGCGCCAUUAUAAUUUUGAACAACUCAAAGAUGAACGAACACGAUGAAAAAUUGGACAAGACAAAAUAACGGAAUUGAUGCUGCGAUCCAAUAUUACCAUAUUGUACUGUCAGUUUGAAAGAAUAACAAUUGAGUUCUUCAUUCAAUAAGAAUAUAAGAAUACAACUGAAUUCUUCAUUCAAGAAGAAUCCAUAUUGUAGUAUCUUCAAAUUAAAUAGAGCUCGUAGGAGUCAAACCCAUGUCAUUUUGAUAUAGACCAAUGCCUCAACCAUGGGGAAAAGUCAUACUUCGUCAAGUUUAUAUAACAGGAAUAUUAAACUACUCACAAGCUAUUUAGGGCAAGUACCCAGUGUGCCUCCAUCCCUGACUAGCGUCACGAGAACUUCAAACAUAAGUUCACUUGUUCUUGUCUUUGUGGUUGAGGUCACAAUUUAAUUUAGCAAAUUCGAAAAGAACUUGUUAGCACACAUUUAUCUUCUCAUAUUUAUUAUAUUUCUUAAUCCCAUCAUCCGCCCAUCCCGACUACACGUCAACCAUCUAUACAUAUAUGUAAUUUUAUAAAAUAUAUUUCUUAAUCACGUCAUCCGCCCACCCCGAUUUACCCUACUUCAAAUCUACCUUUUGCCUCCUUUAAUGAAUCAUUUUUCUUUAUCGUCAGAAUUUUACCGGAUUUUUCUUCUUCUCCGAUUUUGUUUACCACCAAGUCAUAUCUUAUUUUAUUAUCAUCAUCAUGGAUCUAGUCAUAUAUCAAAUAUAUGCGAUAGAGAUGAUAUGAUGGUUGUUACAAUCAGUGGCGGACCCAGAAUAUUAUUUUAGUGGGUUCCCAAAAUAAAAAGAUGCAAUAAUAAUUAUAAAUAGUAAAUAUCAGAAAUAUUUUACACUUUCUGUCAAAAAAAAAUAUAUUCUACACUUUAAAAUUGUUUCCUAUAGUGUUUUCAUCAGAAGUUCAAGUGGGUUUAAAAAGAUUCACCAGGAGAGUUCAAGAGAAGUUAAUUUUUUAAAACCCUACCGAGAGGAUCAAAAUUCAAAGGGAUAGAGCACGAACAGCAAGACAGUAAAUUCUAUUAUAAUUUUUAAACAUGGUAAACUACUACUACAACCUUUUCUUUUGUGUUGUGUAUUGGGCCGUGUAAUUUUCUUUGGGCUUCUUUAUAUUAGAGGGUUCCUCGUUAAUAUGAUAGCGGAUUCCAAAAAUAAAUUCACGGUAACAUAUUCCUUAAGCCCAGGCCCAAGUGGGUUCUUGUCCGCCCGUGGUUACAAUUGUAGGCGUAGUAGAUGUUGAAUGUCUUUCAUCAUCAUCAUAGAUCUAGUCAUAUAUCAAAUAUAUGCGAUAGAGAUGAUAUGAUGGUUGUUACAAUUGUAAGCGUAGUAGAUGUUGAAUGUCGGCUCAGCACAACCUAUAUAAUUAAUGAUGGUAAUUUAAUGAUCAAUACACACAUUUAUUAGCAUUGAGUUUUGUUGAUUUUGGUAAUAUGUAUUUGUGAUUCUAUAAUAUAUUAAUGAUUUUUGAUACAUAUAUUAGUGAUCUCGUGUGAAUUGGUUACACUCAUAUGAAUUUGAAAUUGACAUAUUGAGAUGUUGAUGAUGUUUCUGUUAGUGAUUGUGGUGAAAUAAUUAUGACAUUGAAAAUUAAAUAUAUGAUAAUAUAGUAUUUAAGUUGAUGGAUUUAAUAAGAUAAAUGUCAUGUAAAUAAAUUAUAAAUAUUAUUCAAUAUCUUUUUUGGUUAGACCAUUGAAAUGAAUAUUUAUCCAUUCAACAAAUUUUUUUAUGCUGAACGAAUAAAAUGUACUCCCUCCAUCUCCCUAAAUUAUAUGUAUUGAGGACCAGGCGCGGCGCACAUUUUAAUACUCUUAUAAAAUAUAAUUUAUAAUUUAUUUUUAAGAUUUUUUUCCUGAAUAAAAAUUUAACAUUCAAUUUUUUAUUCAAAAAAAAUUUAAAAAAAAAUUAAAACUAUACUUUAUAGAAGUAUUAAAGUGUAUGUCAAGUGAAAAAACGUGUAGAAAUGAGUGGAACAGAGAAAAUACAUUAUACUUAUUUAAUGAGAAAAAAAGGCUGAACAUGUUAGAAUUUUAUUAUAAUCCUAUAACCGUGAAUACAUCAUCCAAAAAUUAUAAAAUAAAAAGUUAAAUAAACCCAUCCCAACAUACACACAUCAGGAGUUACACCCAUAAAUGUAUAAUAUUACUGAGAUUAUAUAUUGUACACAAUAUUUUUAGAAUCUUUAUUAUUUAAUUAUUUUAAGAGUUAUUCAUUUUCUCAACUCGUAAUGAGAACAAAAAAAAUAUUAUUUACAAAAGUUACAAAUUUAAAAGUACAAGAAAAUCAUAUAAAAAGUCCCUCAAAUUCUAGUCCAUGCUCAAAUUUUAUAAUUCCCUGUAAUAAAAAUAGGAAAAAAAAAAAUCUAUUUUCCUUAAAAGUAAUUCGUGACAAAUGAGGCAAGCAAAAUAGAAAAGACCAAAUGCUUAAAAGUUCGUAUUUUGCUUAAUUGGGGGUGGGAUUUAUAGGCACUGACCACGAGGGGUUUAUGUUUCCGGCGUGUACACAAACGUUAACAAGUACGACGUUGAAGCAGAGUGUGUUAAGGUUCUGACCUUAAUUACUUCCCAAACUUGUACUUCUCUCAAAACGGUACACAUGGUUUCUUGAUUUUUCAUGUCUUUAUCUUUAUAUACAUCGAUAAUUUCUUGAUUUUUAUAUAUCUAUAUCUGCCGUUCUGAUGAAUGUCUGUAUGUAUAGACACAUUAUUUCUUGAUUUUCAUGUCUCUAGCUUUAUAUGUCAUUCUGUUGUUUAUGUAUGUAUAAACCGAGACUGUCCUUGCAUGUGCAUCUACAUUUUAGUUGACACUUUCUAGAUGGAGCUGAUUAUUCCUUGUACUCGAUGGUUUGAGCUGAUAUUCUUGUCCUUGGUUCCGAAGGGUCGAGGUGUUCGAGCCUCUAUUAAGACAAGUGUGUGCCGGAGUGUGCCGGAGUGAACUUAGUAACUCUCAUUCUUAGAUGUGGAUGUGUCGGGGUAUAUAUGUGUGUUUAAAAUGAAUUGCAGAAUAUAUAACACUGCUAUUAAAAUGUAUGUAUGGGUUCCUUAUUGUGGACCACAGACUGUUAUAGAAGAUUCAUGUGUCAAAAAACAAGAACGAUUAUUAGUUUUUUAGUCAUGGAUGGAAGAGUCAUUUUUUACUAUAUAGGUCAUUGGCUAAUGGAAUAUUGCUGCCAAGAUAUGCAAAUCUGAGGAGAAAUAAUGACAAAAUUAACAGAUUUUGGAAGACGUUAAAAUAUCUAUAUCAAUCCUGCAAAAAAAACCAAUUUUACCUUUAUAGUAAGAAGAAGAGAUAAGUAGAGAGAACUCAGAGAAGAGAUAAGCACAAGGAGAGAAGAGAUAAGAGUAAGACAUAAGUCGUUAUCUUUGCCGCCGCCGUCAUCGGAGAUGGAGAGAAGUCGCCGUUGUCGUCGGAGGAGGAGCGUGUGCGUUUCUGUGUCUUCUUUCCAGUUGCAAAAAGGUCAGCCCCUUUCGGUUUGGGGAUAGAUCGUAACUGGGUUUGUAUAAAUUCUGUGUUUUACUUUCCUAUUUUUAAAGUCAUGUGAAAUUACCUUUUCUGCCCCUCCCGCACCGCAAUUGGCGCCCCCCUGCGUAUCGGAUCAGUGGAACGUGUCGAUACGCCACUUGGUGCACCGCGGCACACCCCCGCACCGGUCCGUAUCCCAUACGUGAUACUCCACCCAUGUGGAGUAUCCCUGCUUUCCAGCUUAUUAUCCAUCUCGUUAUAUGUUUCUUAUAGUUGUUUCUAACCCCCAUUAUAUAAUUGCUUUCAAUAAACAAAGUAGUCGAGUGGAUUCUAUCAUUUUGAAUUGUGGCGUACCUCUUCCCAGUAACUAUUUCAAAGAAUAUGGACCGCCAGAAUGCUGCAGUGAAACCAGUUGGGUUCAUAUUUUGUGAACUACAGGGAAAGAAAGAAGAGGCGGAGAGGUUAAAUGUAGAUGAGAANGGGAAAGAGAGAAGAGGCGGGAGAGGUUAGAUGUAGGUGAGAAUAUAUUGUUUGAUGUUUUUAUCAUCUAGAGAUUAACGGGGUAACUGUUAAGGAGUGCUAGAAUUUUGACUCGACCAAAAGGAAAAAAGGAUAAUGUACCCUCCACUUUGGAAGGCUUCCUUAAAAAAAAAUUCUUAUGAGAAAGUCCAGUGAUGUUAACGUGGUCAUAGACUCAUAGUAGGCGACUAUUGUUUCCACUAAUUAGAUUCACUUAAAAAUCAGAUGGUGUAUACCUUAUGAAAUCCUGAAAGAAUAUUUGAAGCUUCAAGAGGGACUUAUUGUGGUAUAUUAUGAUCAAGUACUCGAGUAUUUAACGAUAAAAGGAAUAAAAAGCUCAUAUAGGAAAAUCAUAUAGCUUUCCUUUCACGGGGUUUCAUUACACUGAAAGAAGCUUCAAACUUCUUUCAAUAGAAAUUAUGUAUAUCUUAACUUAGUACUAACUUACAAUAAUUGUGCCGUUAUUUUUGCAAAUUGAUCAUAGAUUUCUUUUACUAAUGAGUUGUCAUCUUCGUGUUCAAUACGUAGUUUGCUAUUUCUGUUGUGGCUUACUUAAAAUUGUGCAGCUUUGAGGGCCUGCGGCGUAGUCUGGAUAGUUGANGGCAGCUUUCAAUAUUUUGAAUUUAGUGAGGCCAAAACUGUGCUUUGAAAGAUUAUUAUAAAUUGAUAAUAGUAGAUAUAUGCAUAAAAUUCCAAGUUCGCAUGUGAACUAACCCUACUGUAGGCAUAGCUGCGCCUCUCCCUGAGCCUGAGGCAACUACUCUAUGUUUUACUGCAACGGCGUACUUGAAUUUGACAUUUACCGACUUCGUAUAAAUUGGAGCUUACUGAUUUUACCUUUCCUUUUUUUCUUUUUUGCUGAUCGCAGCGUUCCUUUUAUAGGUUUAAAAUUAUGAAGAGGGCAAUGCCAUUGGAACCAACUGACAAUGUUAUGACAACUGGUAAUUGUUUUCCGUCCCCAUUAUACCAAAGCUUAAUAUUAAUUACUUCCAUUACUCUUUAAGGUCUUAGCGUAAAUGUAUGUCUAAUCUGAUAUAAAAGCUUAGAAAUUGUUUCAAUUCUAAUGAUCAAUGAGCAGCAGUUUGAGUUCUCUCUCAUGUAUAUCUUCUAUGUAAACUGAUUAGCUCUUUAAUUAAAUUUGAGGUAUAAAGAAGUGAAAAGAAAGCAUGAAUGUGGGUGUGGGGUGUACACAGUACGAUAAUUUGGCAACUUUUUAAGUAUAGGGUUUCGGGUAUGAGGGUAUACGGCAAAUGUUAAAAUAACACAAGUAUAUCAUAGAUAUGAUUCAAAAGUUGCUCAAUAUAUGGUAAUUCAGUGGGUUAGUGUUACAAAAGCAGAAAUGAAAACAAGAUGAAAACCAAGGAUCAAAAUUUUGACUUUACACAUUACUUUUAAAGAGGUGAAGUGAAACUGUGAAAGCGGACAAGAUUUCGGACCUGAAAUAGGUUAUUUUUUUCCUAGUCAAUCAAUAUUAUAUCAUCACAUGGUCCACUGUCAAAUACCCUCUAAUUUUAUCCUCAGUCUGGUUUCUAUAUCUUCACACAUUCCGCUCCUUUUUACUAUCACUUGGAUUGCAGAAAAUGGUGUCUUCAGAAGUGCCCAAGCGUACCAAGAUUAUAUGAUGCAGCUGCCAAUCCCAACCAAGCGUGGUGCUAUCAUUCCAUUUACCUCGUGGAGCGGAUUUGGUGAUUCUACGAAACAAUUAUACAAUCAGCCUCUGCAUUACCUCACAAAUGUCUGCCUGAAGGAGUUGGAUCGAAACCGGGUUGGUGCUGAUGAUGCGAACAAAAGACUUGAUACUAUUAUCCAUCCAGCCAAAGCUGAAGUUUUCCUCUGGAUGACGGAACAAACUCAUAGGCUCACUACUUCUCCACAUCAGCUGGCUACACUCUGGCAAAACAACCCCAUGUAUAAGGCUGAUAUCGAUGCCUGUGCCCCUCCCUCUGCUAAUCCAAUUUAGGGGUCUUUCAAUAGGAAAGUGAGAUUCUAGCAUUCCCUGAACACUGCAAGGGUGUAAUGAUAAUCUCCUGAUCGUGUCUUGUAAAACUUUUUAUUUCCUUUACCAUCUAUGUAUGGCGUUCUUUGGAUUGGACUGAAUGAUCUGUAAACAAUCCGAGAGCUUAGCUAUUGACAAAGUAUCAAACAGGAUUAUUUACAUUGCUACCAAUAAUUACUGCAGGAGCAAAUUCCAUGCUCGAAAACGUGAAAUCGGUGGUUAUCGUCAGAAUUUUAC
rnacentral:lncRNA from 1 species